rnacentral:rRNA from 1 species
UACGAAGGGGGCUAGCGUUGCUCGGAAUCACUGGGCGUAAAGGGUGCGUAGGCGGGUCUUUAAGUCAGGGGUGAAAUCCUGGAGCUCAACUCCAGAACUGCCUUUGAUACUGAGGAUCUUGAGUUCGGGGAGAGGUGAGUGGAACUGCGAGUGUAGAGGUGAAAUUCGUAGAUAUUCGCAAGAACACCAGUGGCGAAGGCGGCUCACUGGCCCGAGUACUGACGCUGAGGCACGAAAGCGUGGGGAGCAAACAGGG